rnacentral:rRNA from 1 species
CACGUAGGGGACGAGCGUUGUCCGGAAUCAUUGGGCGUAAAGGGUGCGUAGGCGGCGCGGUAAGUCGGAUGUGAAAUCUCGGAGCUUAACUCCGAAACUGCAUUCGAUACUGCCGUGCUUGAGGACUGGAGAGGAGACUGGAAUUUACGGUGUAGCGGUGGAAUGCGUAGAUAUCGUAAGGAAGACCAGUGGCGAAGGCGGGUCUCUGGACAGUUCCUGACGCUGAGGCACGAAGGCCAGGGGAGCAAACGGG